rnacentral:rRNA from 1 species
CCUACGGGUGGCAGCAGUGAGGAAUAUUGGUCAAUGGACGCAAGUCUGAACCAGCCAUGCCGCGUGCAGGAAGACGGCUCUAUGAGUUGUAAACUGCUUUUGUACGAGGGUAAACGCAGAUACGCGUAUCUGUCUGAAAGUAUCGUACGAAUAAGGAUCGGCUAACUCCGUGCCAGCAGCCGCGGUAAUACGGAGGAUUCAAGCGUUAUCCGGAUUUAUUGGGUUUAAAGGGUGCGUAGGCGGUCGGAUAAGUUAGAGGUGAAAUCCCGAGGCUCAACUUCGGAAUUGCCUCUGAUACUGUUCGGCUAGAGAGUACGUGCGGUACGCGGAAUGUAUGGUGUAGCGGUGAAAUGCUUAGAGAUCAUACAGAACACCGAGUGCGAAGGCAGCGUACCAAGCUACUUCUGACGGUGAGGCACGAAAGCGUGGGGAUCAAACAGGAUUAGAUACCCGGGUAGUC